rnacentral:rRNA from 1 species
CUAACGCGUAAAGGCGAGCACUCUAGACGAACUGCCGUUGACAAAACGGAGGAAGGUGGGGAUGACGUCAAAUCAUCAUGCCCCUUAUGUUCUGGGCUACACACGUGCUACAAUGGCCGGUACAGACGGACGCAAAGCCGCGAGGUGGAGCAAAUCCUAAAAAGCCGGUCUCAGUUCGGAUUGCAGGCUGCAAUUCGCCUGCAUGAAGUCGGAAUCGCUAGUAAUCGCAGGUCAGCAUACUGCGGUGAAUACGUUCCCGGGCCUU